AACAGAUGCUAAUACCGCAUAACAACUUGGACCGCAUGGUCCGAGUUUGAAAGAUGGCUUCGGCUAUCACUUUUGGAUGGUCCCGCGGCGUAUUAGCUAGAUGGUGGGGUAACGGCUCACCAUGGCAAUGAUACGUAGCCGACCUGAGAGGGUAAUCGGCCACAUUGGGACUGAGACACGGCCCAAACUCCUACGGGAGGCAGCAGUAGGGAAUCUUCCACAAUGGACGAAAGUCUGAUGGAGCAACGCCGCGUGAGUGAAGAAGGGUUUCGGCUCGUAAAACUCUGUUGUUAAAGAAGAACAUAUCUGAGAGUAACUGUUCAGGUAUUGACGGUAUUUAACCAGAAAGCCACGGCUAACUACGUGCCAGCAGCCGCGGUAAUACGUAGGUGGCAAGCGUUGUCCGGAUUUAUUGGGCGUAAAGCGAGCGCAGGCGGUUUUUUAAGUCUGAUGUGAAAGCCUUCGGCUCAACCGAAGAAGUGCAUCGGAAACUGGGAAACUUGAGUGCAGAAGAGGACAGUGGAACUCCAUGUGUAGCGGUGAAAUGCGUAGAUAUAUGGAAGAACACCAGUGGCGAAGGCGGCUGUCUGGUCUGUAACUGACGCUGAGGCUCGAAAGUAUGGGUAGCAAACAGGAUUAGAUACCCUGGUAGUCCAUACCGUAAACGAUGAAUGCUAAGUGUUGGAGGGUUUCCGCCCUUCAGUGCUGCAGCUAACGCAUUAAGCAUUCCGCCUGGGGAGUACGGCCGCAAGGCUGAAACUCAAAGGAAUUGACGGGGGCCCGCACAAGCGGUGGAGCAUGUGGUUUAAUUCGAAGCUACGCGAAGAACCUUACCAGGUCUUGACAUACUAUGCAAAUCUAAGAGAUUAGACGUUCCCUUCGGGGACAUGGAUACAGGUGGUGCAUGGUUGUCGUCAGCUCGUGUCGUGAGAUGUUGGGUUAAGUCCCGCAACGAGCGCAACCCUUAUUAUCAGUUGCCAGCAUUAAGUUGGGCACUCUGGUGAGACUGCCGGUGACAAACCGGAGGAAGGUGGGGAUGACGUCAAAUCAUCAUGCCCCUUAUGACCUGGGCUACACACGUGCUACAAUGGAUGGUACAACGAGUUGCGAACUCGCGAGAGUAAGCUAAUCUCUUAAAGCCAUUCUCAGUUCGGAUUGUAGGCUGCAACUCGCCUACAUGAAGUCGGAAU
rnacentral:rRNA from 1 species